rnacentral:rRNA from 1 species
UACGUAGGGGGGCAAGCGUUGUCCGGAAUUAUUGGGCGUAAAGCGCGCGCAGGCGGCUAUUUAAGUCUGGUGUUUAAACCUUGGGCUCAACCUGGGGUCGCACUGGAAACUGGAUGGCUUGAGUACAGAAGAGGAAAGUGGAAUUCCACGUGUAGCGGUGAAAUGCGUAGAUAUGUGGAGGAACACCAGUGGCGAAGGCGACUUUCUGGGCUGUAACUGACGCUGAGGCGCGAAAGCGUGGGGAGCAAACAGGG